rnacentral:rRNA from 2 species
AUUUUGGUCGCCAACGAGUGGCGGACGGGUGAGUAACACGUAGGUAACCUGCCCAGAAGCGGGGGACAACAUUUGGAAACAGAUGCUAAUACCGCAUAACAGCGUUGUUCGCAUGAACAACGCUUAAAAGAUGGCUUCUCGCUAUCACUUCUGGAUGGACCUGCGGUGCAUUAGCUUGUUGGUGGGGUAACGGCCUACCAAGGCGAUGAUGCAUAGCCGAGUUGAGAGACUGAUCGGCCACAAUGGGACUGAGACACGGCCCAUACUCCUACGGGAGGCAGCAGUAGGGAAUCUUCCACAAUGGGCGCAAGCCUGAUGGAGCAACACCGCGUGAGUGAAGAAGGGUUUCGGCUCGUAAAGCUCUGUUGUUAAAGAAGAACACGUAUGAGAGUAACUGUUCAUACGUUGACGGUAUUUAACCAGAAAGUCACGGCUAACUACGUGCCAGCAGCCGCGGUAAUACGUAGGUGGCAAGCGUUAUCCGGAUUUAUUGGGCGUAAAGAGAGUGCAGGCGGUUUUCUAAGUCUGAUGUGAAAGCCUUCGGCUUAACCGGAGAAGUGCAUCGGAAACUGGAUAACUUGAGUGCAGAAGAGGGUAGUGGAACUCCAUGUGUAGCGGUGGAAUGCGUAGAUAUAUGGAAGAACACCAGUGGCGAAGGCGGCUACCUGGUCUGCAACUGACGCUGAGACUCGAAAGCAUGGGUAGCGAACAGGAUUAGAUACCCUGGUAGUCCAUGCCGUAAACGAUGAGUGCUAGGUGUUGGAGGGUUUCCGCCCUUCAGUGCCGGAGCUAACGCAUUAAGCACUCCGCCUGGGGAGUACGACCGCAAGGUUGAAACUCAAAGGAAUUGACGGGGGCCCGCACAAGCGGUGGAGCAUGUGGUUUAAUUCGAAGCUACGCGAAGAACCUUACCAGGUCUUGACAUCUUGCGCCAACCCUAGAGAUAGGGCGUUUCCUUCGGGAACGCAAUGACAGGUGGUGCAUGGUCGUCGUCAGCUCGUGUCGUGAGAUGUUGGGUUAAGUCCCGCAACGAGCGCAACCCUUGUUACUAGUUGCCAGCAUUAAGUUGGGCACUCUAGUGAGACUGCCGGUGACAAACCGGAGGAAGGUGGGGACGACGUCAGAUCAUCAUGCCCCUUAUGACCUGGGCUACACACGUGCUACAAUGGACGGUACAACGAGUCGCGAACUCGCGAGGGCAAGCAAAUCUCUUAAAACCGUUCUCAGUUCGGACUGCAGGCUGCAACUCGCCUGCACGAAGUCGGAAUCGCUAGUAAUCGCGGAUCAGCAUGCCGCGGUGAAUACGUUCCCGGGCCUUGUACACACCGCCCGUCACACCAUGA